UGCCUGGUAGUGGGGGAUAACGUUCGGAAACGGACGCUAAUACCGCAUACGUCCUACGGGAGAAAGCAGGGGACCUUCGGGCCUUGCGCUAUCAGAUGAGCCUAGGUCGGAUUAGCUAGUUGGUGAGGUAAUGGCUCACCAAGGCGACGAUCCGUAACUGGUCUGAGAGGAUGAUCAGUCACACUGGAACUGAGACACGGUCCAGACUCCUACGGGAGGCAGCAGUGGGGAAUAUUGGACAAUGGGCGAAAGCCUGAUCCAGCCAUGCCGCGUGUGUGAAGAAGGUCUUCGGAUUGUAAAGCACUUUAAGUUGGUAGGAAGGGUUGUAGAUUAAUACUCUGCAAUUUUGACGUUACCGACAGAAUAAGCACCGGCUAACUCUGUGCCAGCAGCCGCGGUAAUACAGAGGGUGCAAGCGUUAAUCGGAAUUACUGGGCGUAAAGCGCGCGUAGGUGGUUUGUUAAGUUGGAUGUGAAAUCCCCGGGCUCAACCUGGGAACUGCAUUCAAAACUGACUGACUAGAGUAUGGUAGAGGGUGGUGGAAUUUCCUGUGUAGCGGUAAAUGCGUAGAUAUAGGAAGGAACACCAGUGGCGAAGGCGACCACCUGGACUAAUACUGACACUGAGGUGCGAAAGCGUGGGGAGCAAACAGGAUUAGAUACCCUGGUAGUCCACGCCGUAAACGAUGUCAACUAGCCGUUGGAAGCCUUGAGCUUUUAGUGGCGCAGCUAACGCAUUAAGUUGACCGCCUGGGGAGUACGGCCGCAAGGUUAAACUCAAAUGAAUUGACGG
rnacentral:rRNA from 1 species